GUGGAGAUCUUGUUCCCCUCGCUCCCGUCCUCCUGGACCUGGGCCGCCAGCUGCUCACACAACGUGGCCUGCCGACCCACUGCUCACCUGCCUGCCUCCCCACGCCUCGACCGCUUCCGGGUUUUCCGCUCCACCUGUCCCCUCCAUCUGAAACCAAUGCCCCGGCCCCUACCUAGUCCUGUUUCUACCUCCCCGCUGUCCCCGCUGUUCAGCCGUCUCCUAGAGGUGUCUAGGUCGCCCUCAUUUUCACAGACGAGUCCUACGCGCCACUAGUGUGGUGGCGUCGCUUUGUGUUUCACCUUUGUUUUCCCUGUGGGCGGAAAUAAAUCAUUUGUUUUCUGUCA